rnacentral:rRNA from 1 species
UACGAAGGGGGGCUAGCGUUGCUCGGAAUUACUGGGCGUAAAAGAGUUGCGUAGGUGGCAUUGUAAGUCGGUAGUGAAAAGCGUGUGGCUCAACCAUAUACACAUUACCAAACUGCAAAGCUAGAGGACAGGAGAGGUUAUUGGAAUUCCCAGUGUAGGAGUGAAAUCCGUAGAUAUUGGGAGGAACACCAUGCGUAGGCAGAUAACUGGCCUGUUCCUGA